rnacentral:lncRNA from 1 species
UGUCUAUACACAUAUUUAUUCAAGACUUUGAAUUUUUCUUUAUAACUAAGUCAUUGACUAGCUUUUUGUAAAAAUGACUUAUACUACUCUCUAGGAGGAAAAUGUGAAGCUACAGAAACUGAAAAACCAGCUUGGGGAGUCUUUGUGUUGGAGUGAUUACUUAUCAUUAUUGCCAUUUACUCAAACAGUUAUCACAGAAACAUUGAGGAUGGGAAAUGUGAUAACUGGAGUUAUGCGAAAGGCAAAGAAAGAUGUUGAAAUAAAAGGGUAUUCAAUACCAAAAGGAUGGUGUGUUUUAGCAUAUUUUAGAUCAGUUCAUCUAGAUGACAAAAACUAUGAGUGCCCUUAUAAAUUCAAUCCAUGGAGGUGGCAAGACAAAGAGAUGAACAAUUACAAUUUCACUCCAUUUGGAGGAGGGCAAAGGCUAUGUCCUGGGCUUGAUUUGGCUAGGCUGGAAGCUUCUAUCUUCCUACACCAUUUGGUUACUCAAUUCAUGUGGUAUGCAAAAGAAGAUUCAAUUGUGAACUUCCCCACUGUAAGAAUGAAAAAGAGGAUGCCAAUUUUGGUGAGAAGAGUGGAAUCUUAAGCUGCUUUUGGCUAUAAAAAAAUAUGAAACAAUUUCUUCACAUUAAUACAAUACAUACAUGAGAAGUUGGCUAAUAAUAUCAACACACGUUUGUGUAAUUUCCUAAGUUUAAUGAGUUUGCACAUAAAAGACAACAUAGAAAGGUUCCAUCUUUUGAGGGUCAUGAAUUACACUUUUACUUUUCACCAAUUAUUCUUUCUCUCAUUUUACCUAUUAUGCU